rnacentral:rRNA from 1 species
AUGCAUACGCGUUGGGUUUCACCAUAUUAUCAACGUGAAUUGCUUCAAAAAUUGCAGCGCUUAAGACAAGGGAAAAAUUCUGUAGAAGAAUAUUAUCAGGAAUUACAAACUGGCAUGAUUCGAUGUGGUAUUAUUAAGGAGAAUGAAGCUAUGCUUGCACGUUUUCUGGGUGGAUUAAAUAGAGAGAUUCAGACCAUUCUAGACUAUAAGGAGUAUACUAAUAUCACUCGUUUAUUCCAUCUUGCUUGUAAAGCUGAACGUGAAGUGCAGGAUCGACAAGCAUUGGCGCGAACUAACUUUUCUGCAGGCCGACCUUCAUCAUGGACACCGCGUGCAUCUUCUACUUCAACUGCACCAGCACCUCAAUCAGGUGCCUCCUCCAGCCGUGGUACAAGAAAACAGGCACAACCACCAUUAUGUGCCAAGAGCGCACCUGCCGGGCCUGCACAGAGUUCUUCUUCCAUGGCAUCAACAGGUCACACAAGUGAUAUUAUUUGUCGUCGUUGUAAGGGAGGAGGUCAUUAUGCGAGAGAAUGCAAAUCUCCGCGAGUGAUGAUUGCUACAGAGGGUGGUGGAUAUGAGUCCGCUAGUGACUAUGAUGAGGAGACUUUGGCUCUUAUUACACGUGAAGAACAUGGUGGAGAUGAUUCUGAUCAUGAGACGCAAUACAUGGCUCCUGAAGACGCUGACAGGUAUGAAUGUUUAGUUGCUCAACGUGUUUUGAGUGUGCAGGUCACACAAGCUGAGCAAAAUCAGAGGCACAAUUUGUUCCAUACCAAGGGAGUUGUGAAGGAACGUUCUGCGCGCGUCAUAAUAGACGGAGGGAGCUGCAACAACUUGGCUAGCAUGGAGAUGGUGGAGAAGCUUUCUCUCACCACAAGACCACAUCCACAUCCUUACUACAUCCAAUGGUUCAACAACAUCGGCAAGGUUAAGGUAACACGUACUGUUCGUGUGCAUUUUAGUAUCUCUACAUAUGCUGAUUAUGUUGAUUGUGAUGAGGUACCUAUGCAAGCAUGUUCCUUAUUACUUGGUAGACCAUGGCAAUUUGAUAAAAAUUCUGUACACCAUGGUAGAAACAAU